UAGUCUGUGUGUGUCUAUGGCCGGCAUGUCUGGUAGCAUCUCUGGCUGCUGUUGACCUUGUUUUUGGAGUAAAACACGGUGGAAGCUGAAUUAGUGAGGAUGACUCCUGCUCCUGUCAUCUCUAAGCUCCUCACACAUCUUUACCUGCACAUGAGGAAAAUCACUCCUGUAGAAUGCAGAUGUUCAGAGGGAGAUGAUGCCACAUCUGGUCCAGCUGAUGGAAGGUCUUGAAGUUCUCUGACUGGCCUCGACUGAAGAUGGUCGUCUCACUGGAUUUAAGGUUCAGAUGCUCAGUAACAAACUCCACCAAUGAGCCAACAGGGAAGCUUUAGGUUUAUUAAAUGUUGCUAUGAAGGUAUCGCUGUUUUUCUUUGUGAAUGCAAUGUGCUCCAACUGAAACUUGAAUUAGAACUUAGAAGUAAAUCCUUCCAUCUGAAAGGAUUUAGUUGCAUUAAUAACCUCAUAACAUUCUAAUUUUUAUUCCAGUCUUGGUUGAAAAUAGAAUCUCUGUAUUGAUUCAGGUAAAAACUGAACUUCACAGCAUGUUGGAGCAAAACAACCAGAUGAAAACUGUGAUGGUGUUGGAUUGUCAGACCUGUAAUGUUGCAGCUCAAAGCAGCUUUUCUAUCUCAGUUCAUUCUGACAUUCAGCUAUGAAUCAACACAGCAGAUGGUGAUCCAUGCUGUGGAAGUCUCACAUCUCCUGAUUUAAUGGAGCUGCUUUGCACUUUUUACACUGUUUAUUCACCAACACUUUAUUUAAUAAAAGUCCCAUCUAGUUUUUAUGAGGAAUGUGAUGUUUUAAUUUCUCUGUGAAUAACUGCAGUCUAAUGCAACAGCUGGAGUUGUAACAUCUGUCCUGAUAUUGAUCAUGAAGUAUUGAUCAGAAUACUUAUGGUUAGCAGUCAUCCCUGAAGUUUUACAUUAAAAUCUUUACUUGUGUUGUGAACUUUGGUAAGAAGCAGAAACGUUAGCGUUGCCAUGGAUACAUGAGUGUUAAAUUCUGUCCAUGUUUCCAUUUUGGGAAAUUCAGUCCAGUUCCAGAAUGUGGAGGAAUUUAGUCUCACAAUCACAGACAACAAAUAUUAUCUGAAAGUCGGGUUAUUGUUGUUUAUCAGCACAAUACAAAAAGAUUAAUGUUAGAAAUAUUCCAGUUAAGACUCUAGAAUAUCAUGAUUUAUGUAAAUUUACCUCAAUAAUAUGAAUGUUCAGGUUAAGAUUGUACAGUGAUAUUUAUUAUGUAAGUUUAGCUGAUUAAAGUUUAUGACUCUGCACUAAAAUAUUAUUUAAAUUGACAUCAUUAUUAUAAUAUUUAGGGUCAGACCCUACAGUAUUGAGAUUAAGAAAUCAAAUAUUCUAUAAAAUGUAAAUACACUGAACUCAUUUGGAUAUAUUUAAGUGAGACUCUACAAUAUUAUUUGACACAAAUCUAUCUAAAUCAAAAUUUUAAUAAUUUUCACGCCAAACAUUUACUGGACUGAUUUAAAUAUUAAAAUCACUCCUUUCUAAUCCUCUGCUGUACGUUCAAACCUGAGGCCUUAAAUAGAAACACACAAGUAUCUGAUUGAAGGAACUUCUGCAGAGUCCUGGUUCCAGAACAUGAUGAUAGAAUUAUAGACAAACUUUAACAAAAGCUGCCUGAGAGUUUACAGGUUUUUAUGUUGGAUUUCUUCAGUAAUUUAAUGAGUUAUCAGCAAAAAUCAAGUGUUCAUUUGAUGAACUUCAUUUCCUAAAACAUCCAGAAUUGGAGCUCAUAUCUUUGGCAGCUGUAAAGUUUCUGCUCCUUCAAAGUUCACAACACAAUGAAUGAAUUCCUAAAACACUCUCAAUGCUGGAGAGCGUUUGUGAUGCUGAAGCAGUGAUCAGUUUUUCUGUUUCUUCUCUGGAGAUGCACAAUGAGGGACGUCUGCAGAGACUGAGAAAGAGUCUCACCACAUCCUGACAUGAGGAAAAAGACUUUAUUGAAGACUACAAUGAGAAAAACUAUCAGACAGCAGACGGCUGCAUUCAAGGUGAGCUCUGAACAUUUGAUCUGGAACAGGAAUUCAAUAACGGCAGCAUGAGCUUCAUUUCAGUCUGUAGCUGCUGAAUUCAUGGAUGAAUCAUCUGGCACUAGAGAAGAAGACCAUCAAACAUCCACGUCAGCUGAUGGAGGUCCAAGAGUCUCACCAAACAAACAACCUACAGAGUGAAGACCUCGAAUCUGAUUGGACGGCCUCCUAUUCAGCCACAUCUGUUAACAGUUUAGGCUGUUAGAUUGUUCCAGAUAAGACAAGUACAAGAUUCUUCAGAGCCGUUCUACCACGAGCCUGACAGGAAGAACUCCAACAGCUACUGAAUGUUCCUGUGGUUCCCUCAAGGCUACAGGAGGAGUCCUACGAGGACGAGCCGGUCCACCUGAUGGUGGCCAGUCGCUGCGGUUCAAAGCCAACACCGACUACAUGGACUUCUACUGGACCACACGGAGGCCUUCAAACCGGACCAACAAGUUCAGCGACUCCCCGACUCGUGGGUCUGAGGACGCCGCCGAGCCUCGGUCCAGCCGGCCUCCUGUCUGUGGGUGUUUGAGUGCUGAGAGGUUUGUGGAUGCAUGUGAACGUGUCUGUGUUGAAACAGCAGCUUUUGACUCAGUAACGCAGGGAAAAACCAAGAGCUCCUUUAUUUGUGACUUCCACUAAAAAAACUGAUGAAAAUAAGUUUGCCAGGGUUCUGACUGAUAACAGAUUAUUAAAUAAUGAAAAUAAUAGUUUAAAUAUUCCUUUAAACAAUCCUUUUAGGUCUACAUUUCCUUUACACUGACUUCUUGGUAUAUGUACAAGUAUUUUGGGUGGAAUAUACCAUUAAGCCCGAUGUUCAAGGGUUCUUCUGGGAAUAUACCAUUAAACCAACCUUUUAGGUAAAUGUUCCAGGAUGUUGGGUAGAAUAUACCAUCAGAUCAACCUUUUAGGUCUACAUUGGAAGAUUUUAGAGUAGAAUAUUACUCCAAACCAUCCUUUAGGUCUACAUUUAAGGUGGAAUACUCCUUUACACCAAGAUUUUUUGGUCUACAUUGAAGGAUUUUAGGUGGAAUAUUCCUUUGAACGAACUUUUUAAGUUUAUGUUCAAGGAUGUUGGGUGGAAUAUACCAUCAGACCAACCUCCAAGGUCUACAGUAGUGAAUUUUAGGUGGAAUAUACCAUUAAACUCACCUUUUAGGUCUACAUUGGAGGAUUUUAGGUGGAAUUUUCUUCCAAACCGUCUUUUAGUCUACAUUUAAGGAUGUUUAGGAUGGUAUAUUCUUCCGAACCAACUUCUCAGGUCUACAUUUCAGGUGGAAUAUUCCUCCAUACUAACUUUUUUGGUCUACAUUGAAGGAUUUUUUCUAAACCACCCUUUCAGGUCUAUAUUUGAGGUUUUAGGUUGAAUAUUCCUUUUAACCAGCCCCUCAGGUCUCUUUGAGGAUUUUGGAUGGAAUACUCGGUUAAACCAACAUUUUAGGUGCAUGUCCAAGAAUUUUUGGUGGAAUGUUCCUUUAAGGUGGAUGUUUGAGGACCUUGUAGGUGGAAUACUUCCUGAAACCAACCUUUUAGGUCAACAUUCAAAGAUUUAAGGUGGAAUAUUCCUUUAAACCAACCUAAAUUUCAUGUUUUGAUCAUUAUCAAGUGAGAAAUCUCAAUCCAGACUCCUCAUAAUGAUGUUUGAGAUUUAUGCUGCUGUUAUUUGUUUAGUCCAGACUAAAUGACAGAAAUCCACAACUGUAAUUUUAUUUCAGGACUCGGUUAUUAAAUGUCAAAACAAUCCAUGUGACUCUAAAAACUCAACAGCUUUACAAACUCUAAGAUUAAACUCUCCACAAGAAUCCAAAAUAAGUCUGACUUCUACAUGAGAGCUUUAAUUAUUCUUCAUCUACAUCCUGAAAAGUUUGGUCAAUAAAAAAGACAAAAACUAGUAUUUUCAGCUG